AAGCGUGCGCAGGCGGUUAUGGUAAGACAGAUGUGAAAUCCCCGGGCUCAACCUGGGAACUGCAUUUGUGACUGCAUGGCUAGAGUACGGUAGAGGGGGAUGGAAUUCCGCGUGUAGCAGUGAAAUGCGUAGAUAUGCGGAGGAACACCGAUGGCGAAGGCAAUCCCCUGGACCUGUACUGACGCUCAUGCACGAAAGCGUGGGGAGCAAACAGGAUUAGAUACCCUGGU
rnacentral:rRNA from 1 species